rnacentral:lncRNA from 1 species
GCAACAGAUUGGAUAUAAGAGUUGAGAGAUGGUGAAGAAUCCAAGAUGACUCCUAGGUUGUGAGAUUGAAGGACUAGGAGAAUGGUGUUGCCUUCUACAGUAAUUGUGAAGGUAGAAGAGGAAAGGGGAAGUUGUAAAAGGAAAGAUAAUAAGUUCUGUUUGGGCCAUGUUGAAUUUAAGAUAUCUACGGGACAUCCAGUUCAAGAUGUUUGAAAGGCAAUUGGAGGUUCAAGAUUGGAGAGUCCUUGGGAACCAACAAAGAUAUGAUCACCCUAUGCAAGAGUAUUAUUGCUAUUCAUCAGAGGUUCUUGGGUUUUUUUUAACUGUGUCUAGACGUGUAACAGGAGAAAAGAGAAGACAUUUUUGCAUAAUUUCUGCU